rnacentral:tRNA from 1 species
GGAGAUGUAGCUCAAGUGGUAGAGCGGCGCUUUCAUACGGCGUUAGAUCCGAUUUCGAGUAUCGGUGUCUCCA